rnacentral:rRNA from 1 species
CCUACGGGUGGCAGCAGUGGGGAAUAUUGGUCAAUGGACGCAAGUCUGACCCAGCAACGCCGCGUGAAGGAAGAAGGCUCUCGGGUUUUAAACUUCCUUUUAUGUGGAAGAGCAGAAGACGGUACCUCUUGAAUAAGCCACGGCUAAUUACGUGCCAUCAGCUGCGUUAAUACGUAGGUUGCAAGCGUUGUCCGGAUUUACGGGGUGUAAAGGGCGUGCAGCGGGUAAGACAAGUCAGAUGUGAAUUCCAGCGGCUCAACCGCGGAACUGCAGUUGAAACUGUUAUUCUUGAGUAUAGGAGAGGUAAUCGGAAUUCCUAGUGUAGCGGUGAAAUGCGUAGAUAUCAGGAAGAACACCAGUGGCGAAGGCAGCUUACUGGACGACAACUGACGGUGAGGCGCGAAAGCGUGGGGAGCAAACAGGAUUAGAUACCCGGGUAGUC